AUUCCAUGUUGUGGACAGCUUGCAUAUAGUUGCUUAAAUCUUUCCCAAUACUCAUGAAGGGUCUCUGUAUCUUUUUGUUUGAUUCCACAUAUCUCCCUUCUGAUACC